rnacentral:rRNA from 1 species
GACGAAGGUGGCUAGCGUUGUUCGGAAUCACUGGGCUUAAAGGGCACGCAGGCGGCCUGUCAAGCACCUUGUGAAAUCCCUCGGCUCAACCGAGGAACCGCGAGGUGGACUGAUCAGGCUUGAGGCAGGUAGGGGCGAGUGGAACUCUUGGUGGAGCGGUGGAAUGCGUAGAUAUCAAGAGGAACGCCGGAGGCGAAAGCGGCUCGCUGGGCCUGUCCUGACGCUCAGGUGCGAAAGCCAGGGGAGCGAACGGG